rnacentral:lncRNA from 13 species
CCUCUCACAAGGCUGCAGUCAAGCUGUUGUCUGGUUCUUCUUCUCAAGGCUCAAUGGGGGCUGGAGGAUCUCGUCCACACUCACCCAUAUGGCUGCUUUCAGGCCUCACUUCCUCACUGGCUGUUGGGCACCUUGCCAUGUGGCCUCUUCAUAGGCUGCCUGAGUGUCCUUUUCAAAUGGCAAGUGGCUUUUUCCAGAACAGCAUAUCCAAGAGAGAAAGAGAAAAGAAAAGAAGAGACAAGGAGAACCCACUGUAGAGGCUUCAGUCUUGUAAAACCUAACCUCGGAAGUGACACAUACCAUCCUUUCUGCCAUCACUGGUCACUUUAGACCAGCUGUGGUUCACUGCAGGCAAGGGCUCCAUGAGGGUGUGAACACGAGGAGGUGGGACCGCUGUGCGGCGCCCUCGGAAGCUGCCUCCCUUAGACAACAAGGACACAGUCCGUGCUCGCUGCUGGACGUAGAGGGUAAAGUCCCAGGAGCAAUAGCUCCAGGAAAUCACAGCGGGUGGGGGGCGGCAUUCCCCAAAAAGGUCAUGCAGCGCAAACCGAAAGUACACAUCUGCCACAAAUAAAUACUGCAAUCUACUUCCUCAUCGGCCGACUCAAGGAGGGCUGUGUGGGGCUGAACCUCCAUGAAGGCAUCCUUCCUCUACCCAGGUGUCCAUACAUUCCUGCAGAAGAGCAGCCCAGUGCCCAGAGUCCUGCGGUUUUCUACAAGCCUGUUUGAGGUGAAGGAAACGGAGACUGAAGAAGUAAAAGAACCACCAGGAAGCGGCAGAACGGAAAUCAAAUCCAAGUACAGACGUCCAAGGCACUCUUUUGGACGUCUGUUGAGUUGUCCAAAAGACGCUCCGUUUUCUCAGCAGCUACUGUGCCUGGACCUACAUUCUGUUAAAGCAACGGAUUACUUUAGGAAUCAAAUCUCUGGUUAAUUCAGUGAGAGGGGAUCGUCCUGCAAACAUUCCAAAUAAACCCUCCUUAUGCUGCGAGAAGUCA